AACGAACGCUGGCGGCAGGCUUAACACAUGCAAGUCGAACGCCCCGCAAGGGGAGUGGCAGACGGGUGAGUAACGCGUGGGAACAUACCCUUUCCUGCGGAAUAGCCCUGGGAAACUGGAAUUAAUACCGCAUACGCCCUACGGGGGAAGGAUUUAUCGGGGAAGGAUUGGCCCGCGUGGGAUUAGCUAGUUGGUGGGGUAAAGGCCUACCAAGGGGACGAUCCAUAGCUGGACUGAGAGGAUGAUCAGCCACAUUGAGGCUGAGACACGGCCCAAACUCCUACGGGAGGCAGCAGUGGGGAAUAUUGGACAAUGGGCGCAAGCCUGAUCCAGCCAUGCCGCGGGAGUGAUGAAGGCCUUAGGGUUGUAAAGCUCUUUCACCGAUGAAGAUAAUGACGGUAGUCGGAGAAGAAGCCCCGGCUAACUUCGUGCCAGCCGCCGCCGUAAGAC
rnacentral:rRNA from 1 species